rnacentral:rRNA from 1 species
UGGGGAAUAUUGCACAAUGGGCGCAAGCCUGAUGCAGCCAUGCCGCGUGUAUGAAGAAGGCCUUCGGGUUGUAAAGUACUUUCAGCGAGGAGGAAGGCGGUAAGGUUAAUAACCUUAUCGAUUGACGUUACUCGCAGAAGAAGCACCGGCUAACUCCGUGCCAGCAGCCGCGGUAAUACGGAGGGUGCAAGCGUUAAUCGGAAUUACUGGGCGUAAAGCGCACGCAGGCGGGCUGUCAAGUCGGAUGUGAAAUCCCCGGGCUCAACCUGGGAACUGCAUUCGAAACUGGCAGGCUAGAGUCUUGUAGAGGGGGGUAGAAUUCCAGGUGUAGCGGUGAAAUGCGUAGAGAUCUGGAGGAAUACCGGUGGCGAAGGCGGCCCCCUGGACAAAGACUGACGCUCAGGUGCGAAAGCGUGGGGAGCAAACA